ACUUAUCCUAGGGAAUUGCUUAUAUGUAAAAAAAAAAAACAAGUGAAAAAGUUGUUUGAAUGGUGAUCACUCAAAAAAUAGGAGGAUAAGAAAUACGGAUGUUGUCAAUUUCCUUGGAAACCCCUUC
rfam:Neotoma lepida isolate 417 scaffold_3528, whole genome shotgun sequence.